UAACUGAAGAGUUUGAUCAUGGCUCAGAUUGAACGCUGGCGGCAGGCUUAACACAUGCAAGUCGAGCGGGGGAAGGUAGCUUGCUACCGGACCUAGCGGCGGACGGGUGAGUAAUGCUUAGGAAUCUGCCUAUUAGUGGGGGACAACAUCUCGAAAGGGAUGCUAAUACCGCAUACGUCCUACGGGAGAAAGCAGGGGAUCUUCGGACCUUGCGCUAAUAGAUGAGCCUAAGUCGGAUUAGCUAGUUGG
rnacentral:rRNA from 1 species